rnacentral:RNase_P_RNA from 2 species
UCCGGUGGAAGCUCACCGUCGAGGCCACGCACUGGGUGCCAGUCACCCGCUGUCCCCGCCUCGGGGAAGGUCUGAGGGAAGGGCCGGAGGCGGCUCCAGCAGAGCCCCGCCCGCGUUGGGUGGGUGAGCCACCAGCAAGGGGGGGCAUCGCGCGGGUCGGCCCGGGCAGGAGAAGCCGAGUUUUUUUUUUUAACUCCCAAUGCAAUACAUGAUGUUAUGAUGUGGAAUACCAGUACCAAAAAUCAUAAAACCAUGACAUUAGCACGAGGGCAUUGCACACUGGUGUGAUUUGCACAAGGAUGAUAACAAUUGUGUGAUGUACGCUGGA